UUUUUCUUGAGCCUCCAGAAAAAAAAAACAAGCGCGCUUUAUUUAACCACAAUGGGGGGGGAACAAGGGAGCUUCUGUCCUCGUAUUUAGGUGGGGGAUGGGGUGUAAAAACGUGGGGGUACCCCGCCUUUGAAAGGCGGGUAUAAUUCCGGGAAAACCCGGGGAUUACUCCCGGGGGAGGUUUUUGAACCCCCCAGCGUUCAAAAAAUCAAAAGGAGCGCUUCGGGUUCACCAUUUAACAGAUGGACCCCGGGGGGCCUUUAGGUUAGUUGGGGAGGUAAACGGCUUCCCCCAAGGCAAACGAUUGGUUAGCCGACCUUGGAGGGGUGUUUCGGCCCAACUUGGGAUUGGAAACCCGGCCCCAGAUUCCUUACGGGAAGCAGCCAGUAGGGAAUUUUUCCGCAAUGGACGAAAAUUCUGACGGAGCAAACCCCCGCUGAAGUAAUGAAGGGUUUCGGAUCGUAAAGCUUUGUUGUUAGGGAAGAACAAGUACCGUUCGAAUAGGGCGGUACCUUGACGGUACCUAACCAGAAAGCCCCGGCUAAUUACGUGCCAGCAGCCGCGGUAAUACGUAGGUGGCAAGCGUUGUCCGGAAUUAUUGGGCGUAAAGGGCUCGCAGGCGGUUUCUUAAGUCUGAUGUGAAAGCCCCCGGCUCAACCGGGGAGGGUCAUUGGAAACUGGGGAACUUGAGUGCAGAAGAGGAGAGUGGAAUUCCACGUGUAGCGGUGAAAUGCGUAGAGAUGUGGAGGAACACCAGUGGCGAAGGCGACUCUCUGGUCUGUAACUGACGCUGAGGAGCGAAAGCGUGGGGAGCGAACAGGAUUAGAUACCCUGGUAGUCCACGCCGUAAACGAUGAGUGCUAAGUGUUAGGGGGUUUCCGCCCCUUAGUGCUGCAGCUAACGCAUUAAGCACUCCGCCUGGGGAGUACGGUCGCAAGACUGAAACUCAAAGGAAUUGACGGGGGCCCGCACAAGCGGUGGAGCAUGUGGUUUAAUUCGAAGCAACGCGAAGAACCUUACCAGGUCUUGACAUCCUCUGACAAUCCUAGAGAUAGGACGUCCCCUUCGGGGGCAGAGUGACAGGUGGUGCAUGGUUGUCGUCAGCUCGUGUCGUGAGAUGUUGGGUUAAGUCCCGCAACGAGCGCAACCCUUGAUCUUAGUUGCCAGCAUUCAGUUGGGCACUCUAAGGUGACUGCCGGUGACAAACCGGAGGAAGGUGGGGAUGACGUCAAAUCAUCAUGCCCCUUAUGACCUGGGCUACACACGUGCUACAAUGGACAGAACAAAGGGCAGCGAAACCGCGAGGUUAAGCCAAUCCCACAAAUCUGUUCUCAGUUCGGAUCGCAGUCUGCAACUCGACUGCGUGAAGCUGGAAUCGCUAGUAAUCGCGGAUCAGCAUGCCGCGGUGAAUACGUUCCCGGGCCUUGUACACACCGCCCGUCACACCACGAGAGUUUGUAACACCCGAAGUCGGUGAGGUAACCUUUUAGGAGCCAGCCGCCGAAGGUGGGACAGAUGAUUGGGGGAAGUCGAACAAGAGCCUUAGGGG
rnacentral:rRNA from 1 species